rnacentral:rRNA from 1 species
UACGGGGGGAGCAAGCGUUGUUCGGAUUUACUGGGCGUAAAGGGCGCGUAGGCGGCGCAACAAGUCACUUGUGAAAUCUCCGGGCUUAACCCGGAGCGGUCAAGUGAUACUGUCGUGCUAGAGUGCGGAAGGGGCUACUGGAAUUCUCGGUGUAGCGGUGAAAUGCGUAGAUAUCGAGAGGAACACCUGCGGCGAAGGCGGGGUAGCUGGGCCGACACUGACGCUGAUGCGCGAAAGCCAGGGGAGCGAACGGG